rnacentral:rRNA from 1 species
AGAGUUUGAUCCUGGCUCAGGACGAACGCUGGCGGCGCGCCUAACACAUGCAAGUCGAACGAUCAAGAGAGAACUUGGUUUCUCGAACCAGUGGCGAACGGGUGAGUAACGCGUGGGUAACCUGCCUUAUACAGGGGGACAACAGUCGGAAACGGCUGCUAAUACCGCAUAACCGCUCAGAACUGCAUGGCUCAGAGUCAAAAACUCCUGUGGCUUAAGAAGGACCCCCCUCUGAUUUGCUUGUUGGGGAGGUAACCGCCCCCCCAGGUGAAGAUCCAUAGCCGACAUGAGAGGGUGACCGGCCACAUUUGGACUGGAGACCCGGCCCCAAACUCCUUCGGGAAGGCCAGCCAGUGGGGAAUAUUGCACCAAUGGGGGAAAGCCUGGAUGCAGGGACGCCGCGUGGAGGGAAGGAAGUGAUUUUCGGGUAUGUAAAGCUUUAUCAGCAGGAGGAAAGAAAAUGACGGUACCUGAUUUAAGAAGCCCCGGCUAACUACGUGCCAGCAGCCGCGGUAAUACGGUAGGGGGCAAAGCGUUAUCCGGAUAUUUACUGGGUGUAAAGGGAGGGUAGACGGAAUGAUCAAAGUCUAGAAGUGAAAGACCGGGGCUCAACCUCGUGGACCUGCAUUGGAAACUGUCAAUCUAGAGUACAGGAGGGGCAAGUGGAAUUCCUAGUGUAGCGGUGAAAUGCGUAGAUAUUAGGAGGAACACCAGUGGCGAAGGCGGCUUACUGGACGGUAACUGACGUUGAGGCUCGAAAGCGUGGGGAGCAAACAGGAUUAGAUACCCUGGUAGUCCACGCCGUAAACG